GUAGUUGUAGCCGAGUGGUUAAGGCGAUGGAUUAGAAAUCCAUUGGGGUGUCCCCGCGCAGGUUCGAGUCCUGCUGACUAUG